UGGAGUAUUGCCAAGUGGUUAAGGCAUUAGCUUUUGAUGCUAACAUUCCAAGGUUCAAAUCCUUGUACUCCA
rnacentral:tRNA from 1 species